GCUGGGCAUGGUGGCAUAUGCCUGUAGUCCCAGCUACUUGGGAGCCUGAGGUGGGAGAAUGGCUUGAGCCUGGGAGGCAUAGGCUGCAGUGAGUUGAGAACACACCACUGCACUCCAGCCUAGGCAACAGAGCCAGACCUUGUCUCAA
ensembl:misc_RNA Metazoa_SRP Metazoan signal recognition particle RNA